rfam:Candidate division WOR-1 bacterium RIFOXYC2_FTLL_46_14 rifoxyc2_full_scaffold_656, whole genome shotgun sequence.
AAUUGGGAUGUCCGUGAAGACACGGAUUACCUGCAUCAGGACAGAAAGACCCCGUGGAGCUUUACUGUAUCCUAACUUUGAAUUUCGAUUCUUCCUGCGUAGCAUAGGUGGGAGGCUAUGAAGUCCUUCUCUAGGGAGGGGCAGAGCCACAAGUGAAAUACCACCCUGGUUGUGUUGGAGUUCUAACCCGGUCCGUGUAGGACCAGGAACAGAGUUAGGUGGGCAGUUUGACUGGGGCGGUCGCCUCACAAAGCGUAACUGAGGCGUUCAAAGGUUCCCUCAGCACGGUUGGAAAUCGUGCGUCGAGUGUAAAGGCAUAAGGGAGCUUGACUGCGAGACGUACAUGUCGAGCAGGGACGAAAGUCGGACUUAGUGAUCCGGCGGCUCUGCAUGGAAAGGCCGUCGCUCAACGGAUAAAAGUUACCCCGGGGAUAACAGGCUGAUCUCCUCCAAGAGUUCAUAUCGACGAGGAGGUUUGGCACCUCGAUGUCGGCUCGUCGCAUCCUGGAGCUGGAGCAGGUUCCAAGGGUUGGGCUGUUCGCCCAUUAAAGCGGUACGUGAGCUGGGUUCAGAACGUCGUGAGACAGUUUGGUCCAUAUCCGGUGCAGGCGUUGGAAAUUUGAGAGGAGCUCUUCCUAGUACGAGAGGACCGGAAGGGACGGACCUCUAGUGUACCAGUUGUCGCGCCAGCGGCAAACACUGGGUAGCUAUGUCCGGACGGGAUAAACGCUGAAAGCAUCUAAGCGUCAAGCCCACCUCAAGAUUAGAUUUCAUAGACCCCUUGUAGACCACAAGGUUGAUAGGCUGGAGGUGUAAGCACAGCAAUGUGUUCAGCUGACCAGUACUAAUCGGUCAUAUCCAAGCGAG